GUAACGUUUCAGUAUUCCGGCAUUAGUAUGUCUCACAAUAGUUAUUAUACUUCAAUAUUAUUCUGUACAUCGUUAAUGCCGUUACUAACUGCUAACAUCGUAGUGAAUGGGGAUCAGCAAGUCUAGAAAAAGACGGCGAUGUUUGAAACCUACAUGGAACAGGUAUUGGAGAUACUACUUCACUAGACCGAAACAUCGAGUAUGGCGGAGAGUAUGAGACCUAUUCCUAUACUGGUUUGGUGAAAUCAGGCGAACGCGGCAGCCAUACCAUGGCGAACUGUAUGCGCAGCAUAGCGUUGCGGCGGGCGGCGGUGUUAUGUACAUAAUGCCUAAGGAAUGUGAGUUUAAAAAGGAGUGAACGACCCACAAGAUGUCGACCAUGGCAACUGCUUCAACUUCAAAGUUACUAUUUAAGGGUAUGGCGUAUCGAGCCACACACUGUAACACUACAAGAAGAAUGUUUUUCUUAAAUAAAGUGCUACCACAUUAAAACCGACUUUUAUUUUGA